rnacentral:pre_miRNA from 1 species
CACCUACUCCCUCUGUUCGGAAUUACUUGUCGCAGAAAUGGAUGUAUCUAGACGUAUUUUAGUUCUAGAUACAUCCAUUUCCGAGACAAGUAAUUCCGAACGGAGGGAGUACUAU